AUCUCUUCUCUGCCUAGUAGCUAAAAUCAAAUGCAGUAUCUGCUUUCACCAAUUAGAGCAUCUGAUGUGUUCUCUGUCUGUGUACUGGGCAUUAAGUUACUGCCUGGAAUUAGAUGGGUUGGGAGUUUGCUCUCUCCACUCCCCGCCUCAGCCUGGAAUUGCAUUACUUCUAGGAAUGAUGCAUUCCUU